rnacentral:rRNA from 1 species
UACGUAGGGGGCAAGCGUUGUCCGGAAUUAUUGGGCGUAAAGAGCUCGUAGGCGGUCUGUCGCGUCUGCUGUGAAAACUCAGGGCUUAACCCUGAGCUUGCAGUGGGUACGGGCAGACUAGAGUGGCGGUAGGGGAGACUGGAAUUCCUGGUGUAGCGGUGAAAUGCGCAGAUAUCAGGAGGAACACCGGUGGCGAAGGCGGGUCUCUGGGCCGUAACUGACGCUGGAGGAGCGGAAAAGCAUGGGGAGCGAACACGG